AUUUCAGAUCGUUGAAGGUUUUCAGACACUUUAUUUCGCUGGACGUUUGGGAAAUGGAUCUGUAAUGCUUCAUCGCUUCAAGAUAAAAGUGGAUUUUGAACGGUAUCAUUUCAAAGGUAACCUCACCUGGAUUUGUAAGCAAAAUGGUGAACUCGUGAUGGUUAAGCAACUCUGAACUACAGUGAAUUUUUGGUAUCAUAUUCAUGUGGAGUAACUUUUACAGAGCUCUGCUUUUCGGAAUAGUGGGAGUAACCUUCUAGUGGCAAAUUACUAAUGAAUAUCUUUAGACUCCACUCGAACUAACUCCAUCUGACGGCAAGUUAUUCUGGAGUAACUGAAGUUCAUUUUUCAAUACCGAGAGUAGAUGGACAUCAAAUAAUAUUGAGCUUGCGAUGGUUAAUCGUAAUGAACCAACUGGAACAAAUAAUUCAGUGAAUUAACGUUAAAAUACUCCUUAUUAUUGCAGGAUAUUAACAUUUGAAUUGCAAUCCACUGCAGACUUCAUAAUGAAAUAGUUCGAAGCAGCCUAAGCAGAGGUAGAGGAUUUCCUCCAGUUUUUAAAGUAUGGGCGAAGAUUACGAAUGGCAGCACUUGUUUAACCGUAUGGAUGCCAUCAGCUCAUUCUGCUAAUGAUGAUGAAUAAGGGUCAGGGAGACAUCUGAGAGUAACUUUUGACAAAUCAACGAUCUAAUAGACAACCGAAAGAAGGCGAGGGUUGAAAUGAUUACAAUUAGAAGUCACGAAU